AACGUAGGAGACAAACGUUAUCCGGAGUUACUGGGCGUAAAGGGCGUGUAGGUGGUUAUGUAAGUCUGGCGUGAAAUUUUUCGGCUUAACCGGGAAAGGUCGUCGGAUACUGCACAACUAGAGGACGGUAGAGGCGUGUGGAAUUCCGGGUGUAGUGGUGAAAUGCGUAGAGAUCGGAAAGAACACCAACGGCGAAAGCACUCUGCUGGGCCGACACUGACACUGAGAGACGAAAGCUAGGGGAGCGAAUGGG
rnacentral:rRNA from 1 species